rfam:Brachypodium distachyon strain Bd21 chromosome 1, whole genome shotgun sequence.
AUUAUACUUCCUCAGUCCGGAAAUCAGUGACUUGGAUUUGUCUAGAUUCGUAUGUAUUUAUACACCAAGACGGGUCUAGAUACAUACGAAUUUAGACAAAUCCAAGUACCUUAUUUCCGGACGGAGGAAGUAGAAG